rnacentral:lncRNA from 1 species
CUCAAAUUUAAAAUCAUGUAGAAAAUUGAACGGUAGUACAGAAAUAUUUCACACAUACAUGUACUUGAUUUUUUUAACAGAUGCUAACUAUAUGCACUAUUGAACAAGUAGGGUGACAAACAUCGAUAUUAUAUAAACGAAGUCCACGGCACAGGAGUUAAAACCUACAUUGAGAACAACCAAACAAGUUGAUAGAUAUUUCAAAAUAAGGACUAAGCGAUACUUGAAUAUGGCACGUUCUUCACAACUAGUUCAGUUGUUGGUUUUGAUGGGAAUACUCGCUAUUGCAAUGAGUAAAGAAGGCUCCGACACUCUGGCUAGCAAAGUGCACUUAAUUCAAGGGAAAAUUAACCUUCCACUGAUAAACCGGGUGCGUCGCGAAAAUGAAUAUAAAAGAAGAAAUGCAUUGAUCAACCUCAUCCGUGCAAAGAUGGCUGGUUGCCAAAGUUGUCACUGCGCACCUUGUUAAGGUCCAAAUUCAAUGUAAAACCAUGCAGCACACUGUACUAUUUCCGAACUUUUCUAAUAUAUUUGCACAGCAAAGAACAAUAUCAGACUGCUUUUUCUGAAUGUUAUCUUAUCCUUUUUAGAUUCGUUUAAUAAAAUGUUAACGGACUUUAUCUGUUAUCUUACCUGAGCUUUACAAUAUAUGUUACCAGUUUCAAAAUAAAAGGACUUGCACUUGA